rnacentral:RNase_P_RNA from 1 species
GGAGUUGGCCAGACAAUCGCUGCAGGAAACUACAGAGGAAAGUCCGGGCUCCUUCGGACAGGGCGCCAGGUAACGCCUGGGGGGCGUGAGCCCAUGGAAAGUGCCACAGAAAAUAUACCGCCAGCCUCGGUUGGUAAGGGUGAAAAGGUGCGGUAAGAGCGCACCGCGCGACUGGUAACAGCUCGCGGCACGGUAAACCCCGCCCGGAGCAAGACCAAAUAGGGGAGUAGGGCUUCGGCCCGCCGUCGGUUCCGAACGGACUCCCGGGUAGGUUGCUAGAGGUAGCCGGUGACGGCUAUCCCAGAUGAAUGGUUGUCGAUGACAGAACCCGGCUUAUUGCCGACUCCGGCU